UGUGUGUGUGUGUGUGUGUGUGUGUGUGUGAGUGUGUGUGUGUGUGUGUGUGUGUGUGUGUGUGUGUGUGUGUCCUGGGGGCGGGCCUUACACUUUACAUUUUGAUGUUAUGUCUUUGUCUUAUAGCCACCAACUCUGUGUGUGUGUAGGACAGAAAGCAGGUCCAGGGUAUCUUCAAGUAGAUUAACUUUGUUUUCCCCUUUAACCAAUCACUGUCCUCUGAUGUCAUCAGUGUGCGCCAUUCGCCCAUUGGAUAUUUAUUUUAAUAAUGCACUCUGUUUACGGUCUGGUGUCUGAGAGCGUAUUACGGCGGUCCCCACAACGCACAUUUGCUCUGACGAGUACUGCAGGGAGCAAAACCACAAGUACAGGGUGGAUCUGGAUCUGAUUAAGCUGCUUGGAUUUCCAAUCUCCUACGCCUAAUCCUAAUCGUCACACUCUACAACUCGUUGAACACGUGUGCGCAGCCUGAAACACUCCUGUAGGAGGUCCGACUUCACCCUGUGUAUUCUUUUUCUUUCAUGUUAUUUAUUUAUUUAUUUUUUGUUAAGGGGUGCCUGUGUUCACCUCUCAAUCGUAGUGCUGUAAGGAAUAAUGACGAGAGCCUUUUCACACACUGCACUCGUAUGGGUUUGGGUUUUCCGUCACUAAACUGCGUGAAACAGUCAGUGUUUUAGUAUUUUGAUUCGUGGACUGUUUAACCUGCAGUUCCCUGCGCCGAGACCCCCGGAAAACCGGUACGCAGUGUAACAGCACUCACUAAACUCGAUCAGUUAGUCGACUGGGUGACUCGCGUAGAACGAGCUAGAAGGUGAAAGGAUGUGAAGACGAGGCCGAUUUUCUUCUCGUUUGUUUAGCAUCGGAUCAGUAAAGCGGUUCAGUGGCGUUAAUGUGCCGUCAGGACGCCCGGUUCGCACUCGCAGCAUCACUUCUUUUGUCGAGAAAACCGAUGAAGAAUUUAGAGAUUCUGUGUUUUCUAUCAUCAUGAGCGUUUCAGUACAGUUGUGUGUAAACGUGUGAUUUUGCAAACCCGAAAAAAAUGUUCACCAGAUGAAGCUAAUUUACAUAAGGCGACGCCCACAUAGUCCAUAAAAGGCGAUAGUGUACGCUGAAUGAUCGAGGGUUUAGUCUUUGUGCCAAAACACGUAACUACUAUUAUAUAAAAUGAAAAUACUAAGUGAGCACUGUUUAUUUUAUUAUAAUGGAAUGAUUUUGAUUUUAUCGACAGAGUUUCAUUCGUCUGAUCUUACGGGUGUGUUGGCUUUUUCUCCCCCCACUUUAUUUUUCAUUUGUUUAUUAUUGUUUAACGCCAUAUAAGACCGGAUUUCACAGAAUGUUCCUCGAAUUGCAGGUUUAGUCCCUCACUUAUUGAACAAGCAGGAGGGUGUGGUUUUAAUGUGUAAUCCACAUCCAUGCAAACGAUACGAUAAACACCGUGCGAUUCGAGUUCAUCAGCGUUCACACUGACGUGUGUGGAGCGAGUUUGGGCGUAAAUGUACUUCUGUUCCUUUCUCAGGCCUUGGAGACGUAUCCAGAUGUUUUCGGGUCCCCAGUAAACACACUCGCACGCUCAGGAUGAAAAAAUAGCGCAGCUUCAGCUGAAACACAAAGCGGAGGUACACUUUCGAUGACAUCAAAAGACACUGGUUGAAAAUCGUGUUUGAAAACGAAUCAUGGUCAAGGCGGGUCCAGGGUCUCGGUCUGACCGUCCCGUCCCGUCCUCUGCCACAAACCCGGAGCAAUGUCCACGUUGCUGCUACUCAGUGUUGCUUUUUAGGUAUCGGUUACACCUCUGGGGUUGUUGUGUUUUUGUUUUUCGGGAAGAAUACUGUACAAUUUAACAGAUGUCAUAUAUGGAAAAUUUAUUUGUCAGGAAUUUUGAAGCAUGUUGAUACAAUACCUUUUUGUCACGUGCGCACGCACGCGCGUGUGUGUGUGUGACAACGUUUAAGCUAACGGACAGAACGUGAGCCUGCCCCCAAAUCGCUGAUCGAUCCGUGUGACCAAGCAGGAGCUGGAUUCAGCAGUGCUAGGUCGGCUUUCUCCUCCUCCUCCUCCUUCCCUCUCUCCCAUCAUCCUUCCUCUCUCAGCCCUCCAUCUGUGACCUGUCUCUGAAAUGCUGCUGCCGUUGUAGGGAAUGUAGCCAAAAGAGAAAUAAAAAUUCCUAAAGCUAUUUUAAUA